GACGAACGCUGGCGGCGUGCUUAACACAGAAUGAAGAAACGAGUGGCGAACGGGUGAGUAACGCGUAAUCAACCUGCCCUUCAGAGGGGGACAACAGUUGGAAACGAAUGCUAAUACCUAAUACUGUGAGAGAGCUUUGCGUCCCAUUAGCUAGUUGGAGAGGUAACGGCUCACAAAGGCGAUGAUGGGUAGCCGGACUGUGAGGGUGAUCGGCCACAAGGGGACUGAGACACGGACCUUACUCCUACGGGAGGCAGCAGUGGGGAAUAGUGGACAAUGGACCAAAGUCUGAUCCAGCAAUUAGGGGUGCACGAUGAAGUUGUCGGAAUGUAAAGUUCGGUCAGUUGAGAAGCGGUACCAACAGAAGAAGUGACGGCUAAAUACGUGCCAGCAGCCGCGGUAAUAC
rnacentral:rRNA from 1 species